GGCACUGGUAUCUGCAUACGUUUCUUUCCACGCCCCCACGUCCCGUCCCCCACCCAAUUUGGAACCGGUUCGAGAGAAAAGAGGAGGGAGGAUGAGCCUACUUGUUAGAAAAUUACAGCAAAAUGCUCGUCACAUGUACGUGAUCAAACAUAUGUUAAGGUGGCUGCUAGGAGAGUUGGACAAUAACAAUUGUCCCUUGUCACACUCUCCUUUAUUAGAUACCGGUAUGAUGCCCAGAGGACAGUGAUUUCACAUGUGCAGCAAUGACACUCUGGGUGUCAUUGCAUAUAGCCUUCUGUCCAGUGGAUGCGCUGGGUUCCUCUAGGUAACAGUGGGCAAGAUGCCGUGUCUAAACUUUGCACCCAGCUCCCGAGAUGCUGGGGCACCGAGAGGGGGCUCCAGGACAUGUGCUUGCAGGAUCCUGAGCCUGGUACUUCUGUCAAGCUUCCCACAACAGCUUAUGGUCCUGGUCUAAUCGAAGACCUUGUUGGAGAUGGGGACACAACCUCUCUCUUCCUUGAUGUGCGUUUGAUGAAGGCAAUAUGUGUGGGCAUAAAAGGAAAAUAUGCCCACUUCCCUUAUGCUCCACAUGCUCUUUAUAUUCUCCACGAUCAUGCCCCAUCUUCUUAGCAGCAAUUUUGACACGUCCCUUGGCAUGGCCGUAUUCAAUUUUAAUUUCUCAGUGUGCAAAACUGAGUUCCAGGUCUUCUGGUCCAGACAAGAGAGCACUGACUCAUUUCUGCUCGUGUCUACAAGUUCAUCUGUAAACUCCAGAAACAGCACAGAUACAGUCACGGGAAGACUCCAGAGUGGAAAGAGGGAAGCAGUCCGGUCCAGCACUCAGGGCUCCAAGAGUAUCCCAGUGCAGGGGGCUUAGGACCCCAUGCAACAGAAGGAGGCCCAGGCGUGCUCCUUCCUUCCUGGAUGAUACAAGUCAGCCCAUGGCACCUACAAGUAUGUCUUUGUAGAACCUUGCUGACAUGAGAGGCCAGGGGACAGGCUCUCCUUCCCAAUGGGCCUAAGACCUCCUUCUUGCCCUAGU
rnacentral:lncRNA from 1 species